ensembl:snRNA U6 U6 spliceosomal RNA
GUGUUCGCCUUGGCAGCACAUACUAAAAUUGGAACGAUACAGAAAAGAUUGGCAUGGCCCCUAUACAGGGAUGAUACCCAUAUUCGUGAAGCUUUACAUAUUAGA